UCCCUGUCUAGUGUUCGGCAGUAAAGGUGUGGCCAACCAGCAGGGAUUAACAUAUAUGGUGCCUAUGAUCAGAAGGAGUUACAGAAUUUUGUAAAAGCUGGAUAUUUCUGCACUCCAUCAAUGUUUUUAUUUCAAACUCAAGAAAGCAAGAAAAGAGAAAGAGUGAAAGAUGGUGUGCAAAGAGGGUCAAUCACACAACCCCAGAUCACAGGAGAGCAACAAACAUAAAAUGACAAAACAAAACAGCAUUGAAAAAACACUAAAUUUCUUUCAUGAUCAUGGUGGACCAGUAAAAUCUUAUUCUGACAUAUUUGAGGUGGUCCCAGAUGAGAAAACUCCAGCACAUUAAAGAAUGAGAAUGACGUCAUGACUUCACCCAGUGGAUGAAUGUGGAACUGCUUGUAAAGUUUAUGAACACGCUGGUGCUGAUGAACUCCCAGUAGAGGAUGAUGGUGCCCAUUGACUGCUGUUGAUGAAGCUGUGAAGACAUUUAUUUGCUUGAAUUAUUUUGAAUGUAUUUAGUGUACUUUACAGUCACUUGUUUCCCAGCAAGGUGUGAUGCACUCAUGUGCUGACUGCAUUUCUGUUGUUGUUUCGAUUACUAGUCGAUCUUUAUGGGUUUUUCAAUGGCUGAAUUUUCAAAUGUGAAUCACAGAUGAAGCUCUAGAGAUGUUAUAAAUGUCAAAGGUGUUAUAAAAUGAUGAAGGUGCAUUGAAGCCGUGCAGCUCUGAUAUUGCCUUUAUUGUCAAAGGCACUUUUUAAAGUCUGAAAAUUUUACUAAAUGUAUUUUAACAGUAAAAUCUGCUUAUACGUUAGACAUCUCUUCUUGCACUUACAUACGUUUAAAAAUAGUAUUUGUGUUUUUUCAACACCACUAUUGUCUUAAGCUUGCUCAAUGUUUGUAUUGCACUAUUUUCAAUAAAGGUACUUUUGAACUAUAUUUUUAAAGCUCUGCUCU